CAGCCGCCGCGGUAAUACGGAGGGUGCAAGCGUUAAUCGGAAUUACUGGGCGUAAAGCGUGCGUAGGCGGUUCGUUAAGUCUGUUGUGAAAGCCCCGGGCUCAACCUGGGAAUGGCAAUGGAUACUGGCGAGCUAGAGUGUGUCAGAGGAUGGUGGAAUUCCCGGUGUAGCGGUGAAAUGCGUAGAGAUCGGGAGGAACAUCAGUGGCGAAGGCGGCCAUCUGGGACAACACUGACGCUGAGGCACGAAAGCGUGGGGAGCAAACAGGAUUAGAUACCCCGUAGUCCCUGUCUCUUAUACA
rnacentral:rRNA from 1 species